CAACUCUUAGCAAUGGAUAUCUUGGUUCCCACAACGAUGAAGAACGCAGCGAAAUGCGAUACGUAAUGCGAAUUGCAGAAUUCAGUGAAUCAUCGAAUCUUUGAACGCAAGUUGCGCUUUCGAG
rnacentral:rRNA from 1 species